AUAAAAGCAGGGAUCUAUUGCCAUUUGUGAAUUGGUCUCUCGUAAACGUCAGGGAUAAUAGUUGUGCAAUGUUAUUGGGUGAACCACCUUCUCUUUUCUUAUGAUUGAUGGUUCAGUAAACAAUGCUACAUGC